ensembl:lncRNA
CAUUUAUUGGGCAGGCGAGUCACGGAACUGUUAGACAGUGCUCUAAGAAAGGAUGUCUAAUGGCCCUAGACUCAAACGGCCAGUAGGAGGAAUCUAGAGAAGGAAGAGUUGUAUGUACCAGAUUCACGGUCAAUUCAGCAGAACCGGAAGUAAGAAAUAACUAAAUUAGGAGAAUGUCCACAAUAAAAAACAGAAAAAGAAGACAAAGACUCUGUCAUUCGUUCUAAAGACAAAUCUUGGCUCCAAGAAACGAGCAGGAGGACAUAACCAAAAACGGACCUGCCUCCAGCCCAGCUCUCGUUGACGCAAAACCAAAAAGUCAAAAGAUUUUUUAAAAAAAGGUCUUUGUAAUGUAGAGGAGUACAAAGAAAAUAAAAGGGAAAAGUAUGACAGCGGGACACCAGCACCAAUGAUUUGAUCUAAAAUCUCCCCUGGAAUACCCUGAGGAAUUGAGAGAGAGAUAUCUGUUUGCGAAGUCAGGACUGAACUUGGGAGUCUGGGAAUAAGGGACCAAAAAACGAUGAUUGCUGGCCGUACCAGAUUUAAUAGACCUGAAAGGCUUUGAGCUGGGAUUAGAAAAAGAAAAGAAGCCUACGUAGAUCGGAAGAAAUAGAUCGGAAGAAAUCGAGAGUUAACCUGGAGACACCAGCCGGGAGAGAUAGAGGCCUGGGAUCUGAGAAGGGGAUGGGAGGAUGCCUGAUUGGUCACCCUAGAGACAUCUAAGGGUUAUCGUACUUGGGGUAUUCUCCUAUUUCGUAUUGAUAUUCUGAGUCUUCUGGAAAGCGUACCCUACGGUGGUUAACUGGAUGAAGGAGGAAAACUAGAUCUGUCAGAAGUGGGAUUCGAACCCACGCCUCCAGGGGAGACUGCGACCUUAACGCAGCGCCUUAGACCGCUCGGCCAUCCUGACCACGUAAACAUACUACCAGCUUGACCUUCAUCACUCUCACCUCAAACCAACUAUUCCUUUAAUCUUUUAAAAGACCGUAACAGCAGCUGCUUGCUGAGUCUACAUAACCCUCCUUGGUCUCCUACCUUCCAGUUGCCUCGCUAGAAGCCGACGUUCCCCCCAUCGACUUCUUCACCAAGACCUUUCCCUUCGGUACACUCUCACAACCUCCACGUGAAAGCAACCGAGCGGGAACCCAAAUCUCCAAAGCUUUCACACACCCCUCCUACCAACAGCGUCUGUCUGUCUGUGGGUCUGUCAGUCCAAUUGGACUUGUGGGUGCCGGUUUCCAUACUCGGCCUCCAAGUCUCUGAAUAGCAGGCAUUGUCUGAGGACUGGCCAGAGUAGAUCUUUCAUUACGAAACCAUCCCAUUCCAAUAUCAGAAGCUCUCCAAAUCAGUUCAGAAACAUCAUGUCCUGCUCCAAGCGAGAAGAGCUGGCAACUAUAGGCUCAACUUUGGAGAACCCGACUAAAUUACCCCGUGGUCUGCCUUCGGAGCCAUUAGGUUCUCCUCUGAGAGAAAGUGGGAAUCGCCUCAAGCCAUGGAGAAGAACAAACCCAUCAGAGUCUCUGGGGACAGGCACCAGACUGGAACCCCCCAUUUGGCACCAGGGAAUGCCUUUGGGGCCAUUAGAAAAAGGCAAUAGAGUCAGUUUGAACAAACGUAGUGAGGAAGACUUUCUAGUCCAGGGUGACGACUGUAAUAAAGGAGACCUAGGCCAUGUGGGGGAGGUUUGGAAGUAGCAGAUUUGCAGAAGGGAUUCUUUGGGCACAGUGGCAAAGUUCCAACCAAGAUACCGAGACUGUAAUGAGCACUGUGAUUCGUGAAGAUGAUGAGGCCGGGUCUGUCACCAGGCUGGCUAAAGUGAAGAGAAUCAAAUGGGUAUACGGACCUUGGGGGAGUUGCUCUGUUCCCAGAAAUGCAGGCUAACCAGGAGGAAGGGCAGCACACCAGCAGCCCUCUCUGUGGACUAGGAUUUAUUUGUCCAGCUGGCUUUUGAGAAAACAGUCUUAGGCAGCCAUUAUCUUUCUCCAAGUCCCAAAAGCUGCCAACACCUUAGUUUUGGUCACUGAAGUCUAGGAGAGGGCUCUCUGGACAAAAAGAAAUGAAGGACUGAAUUUAUUUUGAUUCAUGCAUGCAUUCCCUUUUAAAUUAGCUUAGGAGUCUCAAGGCUAGAUCUAGGUCCCUGGUGUAACUUCCCAGUUUCCUGAGAAGCAAAAUGGAUCGAGAAGGUCUGUGGCCCUGAAGUUGAAAAGCUUCGCUCCUCUGGAUCAAGACUGACUCUGAGUAUCAUCUCUUGGCUAGAGUUGAAUAAACCACCCUUUUGCUUACCGCCUGGCCACAAUCAGGUGGAAUGGAGAAAGAAGGUCCAAAGGGACAGACACACAAACUUUGGAAAGGCAAGCCAGAACUUGGAAAGGGUGUUUUUCUGUUUAGACUAUGUGCCUUCAAGAAUGGUGCAACAGCACCUAGUGAACAAUGCAGAGCUCCUUCAAUCCAGCUGAUCCUGAGGAACAGGCCAAAACAUCACUGGAAGGGAAGGCUGCCCUGAGGUUGCUUGGCUACAGCUUAUGGUGUCUUCCCAAUCACAGAACCAAUUAGCAGAGCCUUUUAGGACAUCCAAAGGGAGCAGGCCAGGGAGGAAACCACACUAGGCUAUGGGGAAGCCUUGAAGGCUUUGUUCUCGAUAGGACAAGGCUCCCGGAAGCAGGCCAGAAAUCUCAAGGAUCUUCCCAAGCCUAGGGAGAAGAAGAGCAUAUAUAUGGGAGUUGAGAGCAGGUAGUCAUUUUCCAACUCCUCCACUCCAACAUACAAGACAAUACAGUCAUCUUUACAAACCAGGACCAAGACUGCCCCAAAUCGGCUCUCAAGAGAUAAUCACACUGAAACAAUUUCACUCUUCAGGCUUCGAGUAACCUCCCCAAAGGCUGAGUCGUGGAGAUCGACCUUGUCCUCUAUAAAGCCAAUCCCUUUCUUCCAGCACCGCAGCUUCUAGGCCGAAGCAGGUUGGCGGGAACUCUUGACCAGCAGUCUUGGGGUCUCUGAGGAGCAGACGCUACCCUAAGGCUGACCAGAGCAAAACAUCCUGACCAUUCCAAAGGACGACGCUAGGAGUGCCCGCAGCCAACCCUGCAGCUCUCGGCACAGCGUCCAACUAGAGGGGAUGGAGAUUAGAACCUGAGCAAUCCUGAACAAACUGUUCGGCGGCUUUCGGAACCAUCUGGUUCUCUUCGGGGAGAAAAGAGCAAGACACAAGCUAAAGAGAGGAGCAAACCCAGAAAAGCCUCUGAGAACUCCAGUCUGGACACAUCCAUUUGGACAGCUCCCGACCAAUACUCCGGCUGCUCCCUCAACUGCCCACACCUGACCCUCCGCGUGGGUCUGGGAAAGUCAGUUCCAGGGAGCCUUGGAGGUCCAAGGCACCACCAGUGUAGUGCGCCGCUAUAUCUAAGCAGAGGCGGGGAGAAGGGGUCAUAUUGGACAAAAGGAGCAACUUGUCUAUCUCGCUUCAUUUAGUCUUCAUUUGUAUACGCGUGUGUAUGGGCAGUUAGGUGGUACAGUGACACAGUGGAUAGAGUGCCGGGGCUCCCACUAGCUGUGUGACCCUGGACCAGUACAUUCCUAUUUGCCUCAGUUUCUUCUUCUGUCAAAUUGGCUGGAAAAGAAAAUGGCAAAGCACUUGGAUAUCUUUGACAAGAAAACUUCUAAAGGGGCUACAAAGACACUGGAACAACCGAACAACAAAUUUGCAUUUUGUUUUCAAAGCUGUUUGUUUCCCGAGAUAAUCCACCACAUAACCCUGUCUUCCUCCCAUCACUCACUAAUCAUUAAGGGGCCACUCUGUCGAAGAACCACCCUUUAUUUUUAAAAAAAAAGGGGGGGAGGGGAGGAAAGGACGAGUAGUUAACUCGGAAUCAGACUGAUGUUGUUUCUAGCUUCAUAUAGCUUAUAUUUUUCAGCUCAAAAUUCCCCACGGAUGUAAAAUGAGGGGAAGGAGGGAGUAGAAAGGGAGAGAAGGCUCCAGUAGAAGGUAACUUCUCAUUUGUCGUCUCUUGGGCCAAAACUCAAACACAAUCUCACUACAUUCAGUUAUCAUUGUUUUUGUGGGAAUCAAUUCUUUUGGCUUUCUACAAACCAUCUUGAGUGGCAUUUUCCUGUGUUUAUUUUACUUUAUUUUUCCAUCCUGACCAGUAUUACUGAAUUUACUUUUCCUUUGUUUGGGGCUUUCAAGUUUCCAAAUUACAUUUUAUUGCUGUUUUCAAAUCACAUUUCCCAGUAUAUUUCUCUUUUAUGUCCUCUCAGCCAUCCCAAGAAGGAGAGAGAAACAAAGUUCAACACUCACCAACCUAUAGAAAAGUCUUAAGGUUACUUGCCAUCACCACCCUUUCAACAAGACUGAAAAAGGAGGAGGGACAUAGUGAGCUAUAGAAGUAAUUUUUUACCCACUGACUAAUAAUUUUACCCCACUCUGCUUUCUUUAUUUUGCCCACUUAGUGUAUUCAGUCAAGUGGUCAUUAUGUAUAUUUUCUUGGGGCUGUUCCCCCCUCCUUUCCAUUAGUUCACACAAAUUUUUCCCAUGCCUUUCCUCACUCACCAUUUCUUUGGGUAUAGUUACUAUGCCUUACGAUUACCACAUCUGGUUUAGGGUUUCCCCAUUUGGUGGGCAUCAACUUUGCUUCCAAUUCUUUGCUAGUCAGUAAAAAAAAAAAAAAAAAGCUUUAUUUUUAUAAUAACUUUUUAUUUUUCAAUAUAUAUGCAAAGUUUCCAACAUUGACCAUUGCAAAACCUUGUGUUCCAUAGUUUUCUUCCCCCUUUCCCUAAAUAGCAAGUAAUCCAAUAUAAGUUGAACAUGUACAAUUUUUCCUAAACACAUUUCCAUAUUUAUCAUGUUGCACAAGAAAAAUCAGAUCAGAAAGGGGGAAAAGGGGGGAAAAGAAGAUGAAAAUACUUAUUGUGAUCCAUAAUUCAGUCCCCAGAGUGGUCCUUUCUGGAUACAGAUGGUUUUCUUUAUCACAAGUUAUUGGAAUGGUACUGAAUCAUCACCUCACUGUUGAAAAGAGUCAUGUCUUCACAGUUGAUCAUCACAUAACCUUGUUGUUGCUGUGUACAAUGUUCUUUUGGUUCUACUCACUUCACAGCAUCAGUUAAAGUAAGUCUAGUUUCUCCCAAGCCUUUUUGAAGUCAUCUUCUGAUUGUUUUUUUUUUUUUAAUUAAAGUUCUUUAUUUUCAAAACAUAUGUAAAGAUUUCAACAUUCAUCUUUGCAAAACCUUGUGUUCCAAAUUUUUCCCUCCCUUUCCCCAUCCCCUUCCCUAAAUGGCAAUUUUAUGGUAAAACAUGUGCAGUUCUAUACAUAUUUCCACUAUUAUCAUGCUACUCAAGAAAAAUCAAUGGAUUGUUUCUUAUAAAAUAAUAAUAUUCCAUCACACUCAUAUACCACAGUCAUUCCCCUACUGAUGGGCAUCCACUCCU